rnacentral:rRNA from 1 species
UACGUAGGGGGCCAGCGUGGUUCGGAAUUACUGGGUGUAAAGGGUUCGUAGGCGGUGUGGCAAGUUGGGAGUGAAAUCUCUGGGCUCAACCCAGAGACGGCUUCCAAAACUGCCGUGCUUGAGUGUGGGAGAGGCUCGUGGAAUUGCAGGUGUAGCGGUGAAAUGCGUAGAUAUCUGCAGGAACACCCGUGGCGAAAGCGGCGAGCUGGACCACUACUGACGCUGAAGAACGAAAGCUAGGGGAGCAAACAGG